AACGCGAAGAACCUUACCAGGGCUUGACAUGUCCGAGACCGCCGGUGAAAGCCGGUUUCCCCGCAAGGGGCUCGGGUGCAGAUGCUGCAUGGCUGUCGUCAGCUCGUGCCGUGAGGUGUUGGGUUAAGUCCCGCAACGAGCGCAACCCUUGUCCUGUGUUGCCACUCCCGUAAGGGAAGCACUCUCAGGAGACCGCCAGCGAUAAGUUGGAGGAAGGUGGGGAUGAUGUCAAGUCAUCAUGGCCUUUAUGUCCAGGGCUACACACGUGCUACAAUGGGCGGUACAAAGCGCUGCAAACCCGCGAGGGGGAGCCAAUCGCAAAAAACCGUUCUCAGUUCGGAUCGCAGGCUGCAACUCGCCUGCGUGAAGCUGGAAUCGCUAGUAAUGGUGUAUCAGAACGAUACCGUGAAUACGUUCCCGGGCCUUGUACACACCGGUACUA
rnacentral:rRNA from 1 species